GGGCCUGUGGCUUAGGCGGUUAAAGCGCACGGCUGAUAACCGUGAGAUCCCCGGUUCGAAUCCGGGCGGGCCCAC
rnacentral:tRNA from 1 species